CCUACGGGUGGCUGCAGUAGGGAAUAUUGGACAAUGGGCGAAAGCCUGAUCCAGCCAUGCCGCGUGAUAGAUGAAGGCCCUCUGGGUUGUAAAUAUCUUUUAUCUGGGAAGAAACAAUCUUAUUCUUAAGAUCUUGACGGUACCAGAGGAAUAAGCACCGGCUAACUCCGUGCCAGCAGCCGAGGUAAUACGGAGGGUGCAAGCGUUAUCCGGAUUCACUGGGUCGUAGGCGUUCUGAUGCGGGCGGGUAGAAAGCUCCGAGCUUAACUUGGAAACUGCCAUUGAUACUGCCAGUCUUGAAUGUCGUAGAGGUAAGCGGAAUGUUGCAUGUAGCGGUGAAAUGCUUAGAUAUGUUACAGAACACCAAUUGCGAAGGCAGCUUACUAUGCGAUGAUUGACGCUGAGGCACGAAAGCGUGGGGAGCAAACAGGAUUAGAUACCCGGGUAGUC
rnacentral:rRNA from 1 species